rnacentral:rRNA from 1 species
AUUGAACGCUGGCGGCAUGCCUUACACAUGCAAGUCGAACGGUAGCGCGGGGCAACCUGGCGACGAGUGGCGAACGGGUGAGUAAUGCAUCGGAACGUGCCCAGUAGUGGGGGAUAGCCCGGCGAAAGCCGGAUUAAUACCGCAUACGACCUACGGGUGAAAGCGGGGGAUCGCAAGACCUCGCGCUAUUGGAGCGGCCGAUGUCAGAUUAGGUAGUUGGUGGGGUAAAGGCUCACCAAGCCUUCGAUCUGUAGCUGGUCUGAGAGGACGACCAGCCACACUGGGACUGAGACACGGCCCAGACUCCUACGGGAGGCAGCAGUGGGGAAUUUUGGACAAUGGGCGCAAGCCUGAUCCAGCCAUGCCGCGUGCGGGAAGAAGGCCUUCGGGUUGUAAACCGCUUUUGUCAGGGAAGAAACGCUCCGGGCUAAUACCCUGGGGUAAUGACGGUACCUGAAGAAUAAGCACCGGCUAACUACGUGCCAGCCGCCGCGGUAA